rnacentral:tRNA from 1 species
GCAUUGGUGGCUCUAUGGUAGAAUUCUUGCCUCCCAUGAGGGAGACAUGGGUUCAAUUCCCAGUCAAUGCA